rnacentral:rRNA from 1 species
CCUACGGGUGGCAGCAGUAAGGAAUAUUGGUCAAUGGGCGGAAGCCUGAACCAGCCAUGCCGCGUGCAGGAAGACGGCCUACGGGUUGUAAACUGCUUUUGUACUGGAAUAUGUACAGUAAGAAUAAGGAUCGGCUAACUCCGUGCCAGCAGCCGCGGUAAUACGGAGGAUCCAAGCGUUAUCCGGAUUUAUUGGGUUUAAAGGGUGCGUAGGUGGUUCAUUAAGUCAGGGGUGAAAGACGGCAGCUUAACUGUCGCAGUGCCUUUGAUACUGAUGAACUUGAAUGAACUAGAGGUAGGCGGAAUGUGACAAGUAGCGGUGAAAUGCAUAGAUAUGUCACAGAACACCAAUUGCGAAGGCAGCUUACUAUGUUGAUUGACACUGAGGCACGAAAGCGUGGGGAUCAAACAGGAUUAGAUACCCUUGUAGUC